AACGAACGCUGGCGGCACGCUUAACACAUGCAAGUCGAACGAAGCUUAGGAGCUUGCUCCUAAGACUGAGUGGCAGACGGGUGAGGAACGCGUGGGAAUCUACCUAGCAGCGGGGGACAACUUCUGGAAACGGGAGCUAAUACCCCAUACGCCCUUCGGGGGAAAGAUUUAUCACUGUUAGAUGAGCCCGCGUUAGAUUAGCUUGUUGGUGAGGUAAAGGCUCACCAAGGCAACGAUCUAUAGCUGGUCUGAGAGGAUGGACAGCCACACUGGGACUGAGACACGGCCCAG
rnacentral:rRNA from 1 species